GUGCUCACUUCGGCAGCACAUAUACUAAAAUUGGAACAAUACAGAGAAGAUUAACAUGACCCCUUGUGCAAGGAUGACACAAACUUGUGAAGCAUUCCAUAUUAAA